GUCUAAGGACAUACCACCCUGAACACGCCCGGUCUCGUCUGAUCUCGGAAGCUAAGCAGGGUCUGGCCUGGUUAGUACUUGGAAGGGAGAAAGUUGCUUUGUGUGUUUGGGGGGGAAUCUCUCCUCAGGCA
rnacentral:rRNA from 1 species